CCCUUAGAUGUUCUGGGCCGCACGCGCGCUACACUGAUGCAUUCAACGAGUCUAAAACCUGGUCUGAGAGGGCUGGGUAAUCUUUUGAAAGUGCAUCGUGAUUGGGAUAGAUGAUUGCAAUUCUUCAUCUUCAACGAGGAAUGCCUAGUAAACGCAAGUCAUCAGCUUGCAUUGAUUACGUCCCUGCCCUUUGUACACACCGCCCGUCGCUCCUACCGAUUGAACGAUCCGAUGAAAACUGUGGAUUGAGAGUCUGAGUGGGUUCGCCUACCUCAACUUUCGAGAAGCGGUUUAAAUCUUAUUGUUUAGAGGAAGGAGAAGUCGUAACA
rnacentral:rRNA from 1 species